rnacentral:misc_RNA from 1 species
CUGAGUACUACACUCCCUACCCUUUGUGAACUAUUAUACCUGUUGCUUCGGCGGCGCCCGCAAGGGUGCCCGCCGGUCUCAUCAGAAUCUCUGUUUUCGAACCCGACGAUACUUCUGAGUGUUCUUAGCGAACUGUCA